rnacentral:rRNA from 1 species
CAUGGCGUGUUAUGGGGAGAGAUCCUCAGUCCUCUUCGGAGGCGCGCACACAGGUGCUGCAUGGCUGUCGUCAGCUCGUGUCGUGAGAUGUUGGGUUAAGUCCCGCAACGAGCGCAACCCACGUCCUUAGUUGCCAUCAUUCAGUUGGGCACUCUAGUGCGUGUUAUUGAGCGGAGGCGUGCCAUUAUUUGAAGCCAUCUUCUUCGACACCCAAAAGAGUUGGCUUACAAAUGGCUUAACAACUUUGGUGGGCUUUCAGGGCACGGACUUGAAAAUCGCCGGGGCCGUCCUGUACCCAAAAAGCUCGAAAAACUUUCCGAACUAUCUUAUCUUGAUCGUCGCUCGGACGGUUUCUCAGACGAACGCCUGCAUCUGGUUCAUAAUACGCUCUAGGGAGACUGCCGGUGAUAAGCCGCGAGGAAGGUGUGGAUGACGUCAAGUCCUCAUGGCCCUUACGGGAUGGGCUACACACGUGCUACAAUGGCGGUGACAGUGGGAUGCGAAGGGGCGACCUGGAGCAAAUCCCCAAAAACCGUCUCAGUUCAGAUUGCACUCUGCAACUCGAGUGCAUGAAGGCGGAAUCGCUAGUAAUCGUGGAUCAGCAUGCCACGGUGAAUACGUUCCCGGGCCUUGUACACACCGCCCGUCACACCAUGGGAGUUGGUCUUACCCGACGGCGCUGCGCCAACCGCAAGGA